UUAGAAAUACCAGACAUACCAUUACCACUCCAUCUCCAUGGGAAAACCAAUGAUGAGUUAGCUACAAAAUCAUCAAAUGAUGAAACAUUAUGUGUUACAAAAGCAUGUGAGCUAUCAGUUGAUUUGGCUGGAAAAUCAUCAAAUGAUGAAACACCACACCGUUCUCAAAAAGAUGUUUCACUUUACUUAAAUUUUCAUUUUAAAAAUGAUAAUAAAAAAUUGUUAGCUGUUGAAAAUAUUUGGAUACCUGACAAAUGUUAUAAAUUUCCAUUACCCUUGGC